UGUCACCUGGAAAUGAUUGGACUUUAUUCGCGCAGCAUAGGUGGGAGGCGUUGAAAAUAUUCUUGCGGGAAUAUUGGAGCCAUCAGUGAGAUACCACUCUUGUAAUGUUAGAUUUCUAACUUUGUAUCAUUAUCUGGUCAAAGAACAGUUUCAGGCGGGCAGUUUGACUGGGGCGGUCGCCUCCCAAACGGUAACGGAGGCGCACAAAGGUUUCCUCUGAACGGGUAGAAAUCGUAUCUAGAGUGUAAAGGCAUAAGGAAGCUUGACUGUGAGACCUACAAGUCGAGCAGGGACGAAAGUCGGUCUUAGUGAUCUGACGGUGCUGAGUGGAAAGGCCGUCACUCAACGGAUAAAAGUUACUCUAGGGAUAACAGGCUGAACCG
rnacentral:rRNA from 1 species